UGGAAAGCAUUGAUGGUCAACCUGGUGCCUUCACCUGCUACUUGGAUAGGGCUUGCCAGAACUACUACUGGAAAUAAAGUUUUUGGGGCCCUGAAGGGAGCUGUGGAUGGAGGCCUAUCUAUCCCUCACAGUACCAAACGACUCCCUGGUUAUGAUUCAGAAAGCAAGGAGUUCAAUGCAGAAGUACAUUGGAAGCACAUCAUGGGUCAGAACGUUGCAGAUUAUAUGCGUUAUCUAAUGGAAGAAGAUGAAGAUGCUUACAAGAAACAGUUCUCUCAAUACAUAAAGAACAACGUAACUCCAGACAUGAUGGAGGAGAUGUAUAAGAAAGCUCAUGCUGCUAUACGAGAUAAUCCAGUCUAUGAGAAGAAGCCUAAGAAAGAAGUUAAAAAGAAGAGGUGGAACCAUCCCAAAAUGUCUCUUGCCCAGAAGAAAGAUUGGGUAGCUCAGAAAAAAGCAAGCUUCCUCAGGAAUGGGCUGCUGAGAGCUAAUAAACCAAAUCAUAAUUUUCUAUGAAGAUUUUCCAGAAGAGAGACAAUAAACUUAUUAGGCAAACAGCAA